rnacentral:rRNA from 1 species
GUACCAAUUGGAGGGCAAGUCUGGUGCCAGCAGCCGCGGUAAUUCCAGCUCCAAUAGCGUAUAUUAAACUUGUUGCAGUUAAAAAGCUCGUAGUUGAAUUUCAGCCUGUGGCAUUCUCUCGCGUUGCGUGCUGUUUGCCGUUGGCUUUUCUUAUUACUUUGAGAAAAUUAGAGUGUUUCAAGCAGACUUUUGUCUUGAAUACUUCAGCAUGGAAUAAUAGAGUAGGACCUUGGUUCUAUUUUGUUGGUUUCUGAACCUGGGUAAUGGUUAAUAGGAACGGUUGGGGGCAUUCGUAUUUA